UAUAGACUUGAUGACAUCACAGUUCCUCCAUAUGGACAUGAUGACAUCACACAGUUCCUCCAUAUGGACAUGAUGAAAUAACGCAGUUGCUGCAGAUUUGUCGGAUCCAUGAUGAGGAUCUCCGGUCCCACCACAUCCCAGCGGUGAUCUAUUGGAUGAGAUCUUGUGACUGUGGAGGCCAUUAGAGUCAUGUGACCUCAUUGUCCUGUAUGAGAUGAUGUCAUGUGACAUGGUGCAUUAUCCUGCUGGAAGUAUCAUCAGAAGAUGGGUCCACUGUGGUCAUAAAGGGAUGGACAUGGUCAGUUACAAUACUCAGCAUUGUCAACAAUGAAUUCAACAAUAGUUCUUCAGUGGGAUUGGACCAGAUAGGCUAGCCUUCACCCUCACACAUCAAUGAGCCUGUCACUAUUUCCCCUGUCACUUUUGGCAAGUACAAACCACUACUCAACAGGACCACCCCACAAGACCUGGUCAAGAUACUUUGACAAGCUUAAAGAACUGACUGGUCACUUGCUGCCCAAUAUAUCCCACCUCUUGAUGGUCACCAUUGUCAUGAGAAAAU